GAUGAACGCUAGCGGCAGGCUUAACACAUGCAAGUCGAGGGGUAUAGUAGCAAUACUAGAGACCGGCGCACGGGUGCGUAACGCGUAUGCAAUCUACCUUUUACAGAGGGAUAGCCCAGAGAAAUUUGGAUUAAUACCUCAUAGCAUUGCGAAAUGGCAUCAUUUUGCAAUUAAAGUCACAACGGUAAAAGAUGAGCAUGCGUCCCAUUAGCUAGUUGGUAAGGUAACGGCUUACCAAGGCAACGAUGGGUAGGGGUCCUGAGAGGGAGAUCCCCCACACUGGUACUGAGACACGGACCAGACUCCUACGGGAGGCAGCAGUGAGGAAUAUUGGACAAUGGGCGCAAGCCUGAUCCAGCCAUGCCGCGUGAGUGAAGAAGGCCUUCGGGUUGUAAAGCUCUUUUGUCCGGGAGCAAGUCCUACUGGCUAAUAUCUGGUGGGGAUGAGAGUACUGGAAGAAUAAGCACCGGCUAACUACGUG
rnacentral:rRNA from 1 species